rnacentral:rRNA from 1 species
UACGGAGGAUGCGAGCGUUAUCCGGAUUUAUUGGGUUUAAAGGGUGCGUAGGCGGCUGUUUAAGUCAGCGGUGAAAUGCAAGGGUUCAACCCUUGACGUGCCGUUGAAACUGAGUGGCCAGAAUGCGGAUGCUGUGGGAGGAAUGUGUAGUGUAGCGGUGAAAUGCAUAGAUAUUACACAGAACACCGAUUGCGAAGGCAUCUCACAAAUCCGUGAUUGACGCUGAGGCACGAAAGUGCGGGGAUCAAAU